rnacentral:rRNA from 1 species
GAUGAACGCUGGCGGCGUGCCUAAUACAUGCCAGUCGAGCGAACAGACGAGGAGCUUGCUCCUCUGACGUUAGCGGCGGACGGGUGAGUAACACGUGGAUAACCUACCUAUAAGACUGGGAUAACUUCGGGAAACCGGAGCUAAUACCGGAUAAUAUAUUGAACCGCAUGGUUCAAUAGUGAAAGACGGUUUUGCUGUCACUUAUAGAUGGAUCCGCGCCGCAUUAGCUAGUUGGUAAGGUAACGGCUUACCAAGGCGACGAUGCGUAGCCGAUCUGAGAGGGUGGUCGGCCACACUGGAACUGAGACACGGUCCAGACUCCUACGGGAGGCAGCAGUAGGGAAUCUUCCGCAAUGGGCGAAAGCCUGACGGAGCAACGCCGCGUGAGUGAUGAAGGUCUUCGGAUCGUAAAACUCUGUUAUUAGGGAAGAACAAAUGUGUAAGUAACUAUGCACGUCUUGACGGUACCUAAUCAGAAAGCCACGGCUAACUACGUG